rnacentral:rRNA from 1 species
AUACGGAGGGGGCGAGCGUUGUCCGAAUUUAUUGGGCGUAAAGCGCGUGUAGGCGGGUGAUCAAGCCUGUGGUGAAAGGUUGGGGCUCAACCCCAAGAGUGCCGUGGGGACUGGUCGCCUGGAGGCAGGCAGAGGAGAGCGGAAUUCCUGGUGUAGCGGUGGAAUGCGUAGAGAUCAGGAAGAACACCCGUGGCGAAGGCGGCUCUCUGGGCCUGUCCUGACGCUGAGACGCGAAAGCGUGGGGAGCGAACAGGAUUAGAUACCCUGGUAGUCCACGCUGUAAACGAUGGAUGCUCGGUGUCGGGGGUAUCGACCCCCUCGGCGCCUAAGGUAACCCGGUAAGCAUCCCGCCUGGGGAGUACGGCCGCAAGGUUGAA